rnacentral:rRNA from 1 species
AUUGAACGCUGGCGGCAGGCCUAACACAUGCAAGUCGAGCGGAGCGGCGGACGGGGGAGUAUGGCCUAGGAAUCUGCAUGGUAGUGGGGGAUAACGUUCGGUAACGGGCGCUAAUACCGCAGCCUAUCAGAGGAGCCUAGGCCGGAUUAGCUAGUUGGUGGGGUAGAGGCCUACCAAGGCGACGACCCGGAACUGGUCCGAGAGGAUGAUCAGGCACACUGGAACUGAGACACGGUCCAGACUCCUACGGGAGGCAGCAGUGGGGAAUAUUGGACAAUGGGCGAAAGCCUGAUCCAGCCAUGCCGCGUGUGUGAAGAAGGUCUUCGGAUUGUAAAGCACUUUAAGUUGGGAGGCGUUACCAACAGAAUAAGCACCGGCUAACUUCGUGCCAGCCGCCGCGGUAAUAC